rnacentral:tRNA from 1 species
GGCCGCGUAGCUCAGCUGUCUAGAGCGUUGGCUGUACUAAAGCCUUCGAUAUGCCAGUGUGGGUUCUAAUCCCGUUGAGGCCG